AACGUAGGUGGCAAGCGUUAUCCGGAAUUACUGGGCGUAAAGCGCGUGUAGGCGGUUAUCCAAGUCAGGUGUGAAAGCCUUGAGCUCAACUCAAGAAAUGCACUUGGUACUGGGUGACUAGAGGACCGGAGAGGAUAGUGGAAUUCCCAGUGUAGUGGUGAAAUACGUAGAGAUUGGGAAGAACACCAGUGGCGAAGGCGGCUAUCUGGACGGUUUCUGACGCUAAGACGCGAAAGCGUGGGGAGCAAACAGG
rnacentral:rRNA from 1 species